rnacentral:rRNA from 2 species
ACUGCUCAGUAACACGUGGACAACCUGCCCUUAGGUUGGGUAUAAACCCGGGAAACUGGGUAUAAUACCCGAUAGGUCUCGAUUGCUGGAAUGCAUCGAGAUUUAAAGCUCCGGCGCCUAAGGAUGGGUCUGCGGCCUAUCAGGUAGUAGUGGGUGUAGCGUACCUACUAGCCUACGACGGGUACGGGUUGUGAGAGCAAGAGCCCGGAGAUGGAUUCUGAGACACGAAUCCAGGCCCUACGGGGUGCAGCAGGCGCGAAAACUUUACAAUGCUGGCAACAGCGAUAAGGGAACCUCGAGUGCCAGGUUACAAAUCUGGCUGUCGAGAUGCCUAAAAAGCAUUUCAUAGCAAGGGCCGGGCAAGACCGGUGCCAGCCGCCGCGGUAACACCGGCGGCUCGAGUGGUAACCGUUAUUAUUGGGUCUAAAGGGUCUGUAGCCGGCCGGAUAAGUCUCUUGAGAAAUCUGGCAGCUUAACUGUCAGGCUUUCAGGAGAUACUGUCUGGCUCGAGGCCGGGAGAGGUGAGAGGUACUUCAGGGGUAGGGGUGAAAUCUUGUAAUCCUUGAAGGACCACCAGUGGCGAAGGCGUCUCACCAGAACGGACCUGACGGCAAGGGACGAAAGCUAGGGGCACGAACCGGAUUAGAUACCCGGGUAGUCCUAGCCGUAAACGAUACUCGCUAGGUGUCGGCCACGGUGCGACCGUUGUCGGUGCCGUAGGAAGCCGUGAAGCGAGCCACCUGGGAAGUACGGCCGCAAGGCUGAAACUUAAAGGAAUUGGCGGGGGAGCAC